CUAAAGAUUGGGAAAAGGUUUGCACUUGCAUGCCAGAUUGCCAUUUCUUUACCAGUGAUUUCAAAGAUCAGCAGUGGAGUCUUUGGUUCCUUGUGAUCUCAUUAUCUCUCCCUUUGUCCUUAGACACCAAACAUGAAUCUCAACAUGCCUGAAACCAUGCACCAUGCAAGCUAAGGCUGCAUGAGCGCUGACAGCUGUGAAGGAUGUUCACUGAAGUGUCAGGUGUCUAAACUGAAAACACAGACAUCCCUUCUGUCCUUAAAACCAUAAACGUACCAUGGAGUGACACGGAGUCAUCACCACAGAACAGCAUCACCCACUCAGCUUCUGUCCUAUUGGCUCAGGUGAAGCCUUUGGGAAGCAAGUGCUGAGCCUCAUUUUGUCUGCCUGGUGGACAUUCGGGAAGAUGGCGAACAGGGCACACAAACACCGAGCUCCAUUCGGUCUGUCCUAAUGACCAAAUUGAACCGCAACCAGGAGAUCUUAUUCAGGUCUUUAGGCAAGGGUAGCAGCACUGGGCUCUAUAGGUAGGUGAUGGAUAUGCCAUCGACUUAACUGCAGAGUUCCUAUAUUUAAUCUGAAUAAAAUUGCCCUUCGUCCGUCAAAUAUGAAACAUCUGCUUUUGAAGUGAACUUCCUGGAUUUAACUGAUAUAAAUUCGAGUCUGUUGAAUGUUUAAAAAGCUGCCACGGCUUAGAAAGGAAGAAACUUGCAACCUUACCUGAAUAGCUUAAAUCCCCAUCUAAGAAGGUGCCUUUUAUUUACACCCAUGAAACCUUUCGUUGUGCAGUGGCAUUACAACCAUAAACCUUAAUGUGUUUUACAGGGAUUUUAUGUGACCAAAACAAAGUAGUGCAUCAUUGUGAAGUGGAAGAAAAUGUAUACAUUACCAGUAAUUAAUGGGUCAAGUAGACUGUUUCAAUAAUUUCCUGAUGAAACUGCAGCGCAAGAGCCAUGAAAUAAAUAUAAUGUAAAAUAAUUAUAUGUAUUUAUAAGUGAAAUUUUUUUUUUCAAAAUUACAUUUAAUUAACUUCAUCAUUUAAAAGGUAUAUUUAAUUAUUUAAUGAUGUAAUAAAUAAAUAACUGCAAAAUGGGUUCAAUCAGAAAAGAAUACAUUUUUAACAAUGGAUUUUCUUUAGGGAUCUUUAUUUAUAGAUUCAGCAUUUUCAAAAGUAAUAUUCAUAUAAUCUCGCUGUUUUAACGCUUUUUUUUUUUUUUACACAUAAGGUUAAUUGAUGAAAAUAGAAAUGCAAUUGCCUUUUCACUCUGUGUUUUAGAUGGAUCCUAAUAACACAGCUGACCUGCAACUGGGAGAUCUUAUUCAGGUCUUUAGGCGAGGGUGCCAGCUUAUACGUGGGGGAUGGAUAUGUCAUCCAUAUAACUCUUGCUGGCCAGGUGGUACCUUUUUGAUGGCGAGCUGAUGGAGCAGGCCUAGAGCCGCCAGAAGACUGCUACCUCUCCUGCCAGGUUGGUAGGGGACUCCUUGCAGCUCAUGAAAUUUGUAUUCCACUAAUUUCAUCACAACAGGUAACCUGUACUGGAAGCGACACUUUCAGCCUCUCUGGACUGAACUUCUAUACCCAGGUUGGGUUUAAUGACUUGAGAGUUAGUAGGCAAACCUUGCUGUUGGACGACUGAUGGGAAAACUUUGCUGUUUGAUUAUUCUUGUGGAAACCUUGCUGUUGGACUAUUAUUAGAAAGAAAAACAAAAAACAAAAGAAAUCUGUUCUGUCAAAUGAUGAACUGUUCCUGAUGAAUAUGUUUUUCAUUUUUCUUUCUAGUUUUGGUUUACUUUUGAACUUAUGUGCAAUAAACUUUUUAAUGGCCA